UACGGGAGGCAGCAGUGGGGAAUAUUGGACAAUGGGCGCAAGCCUGAUCCAGCCAUGCCGCGUGAGUGAUGACGGCCCUAGGGUUGUAAAGCCCUUUUACCCGGGAAGAUAAUGACGGUACCGGGAGAAUAAGCCCCGGCUAACUUCGUGCCAGCAGCCGCGGUAAUACGAAGGGGGCUAGCGUUGUUCGGAUUUACUGGGCGUAAAGCGCACGUAGGCGGACGCUUAAGUCAGGGGUGAAAUCCCGAGGCUCAACCUCGGAACUGCCUUUGAUACUGGGUGUCUUGAGUCCGGAAGAGGUGAGUGGAACUGCGAGUGUAGAGGUGAAAUUCGUAGAUAUUCGCAAGAACACCAGUGGCGAAGGCGGCUCACUGGUCCGGAACUGACGCUGAGGUGCGAAAGCGUGGGGAGCGAAACAGGGAUUAGAUACCCGU
rnacentral:rRNA from 1 species